GAUGAAGAACGCAGCGAAAUGCGAUAAGUAGUGUGAAUUGCAGAAUUCAGUGAAUCAUCGAAUCUUUGAACGCACAUUGCGCCUUCUAGUAUUCUGGGAGGCAUGCCUGUUUGAGCGUCAUUAUCCUCCCUCAAACCCCGGGUUUGGUGUUGGACCCAAGUUGUGUGAACAACUGGUCUUAAAGACAAUGACGGCGUCCGUGGGACCCUCGGUGCAACGAGCUUUUAGGAGCACGCAUCGAGUUGCAAGGACCUUCCGGGCCGGUCUCCUUUACUAUUUUACAAGGUUGACCUCGGAUCAGGUAGGAAUACCCGCUGAACUUAAGCAUAUCAAUAAGCGGAGGA
rnacentral:misc_RNA from 1 species